GAUGAACGCUGGCGGCGUGCCUAAUACAUGCAAGUCGAGCGAACGGACGAGAAGCUUGCUUUUCUGAUGUUAGCGGCGGACGGGUGAGUAACACGUGGAUAACCUACCUAUAAGACUGGGAUAACUUCGGGAAACCGGAGCUAAUACCGGAUAAUAUUUUGAACCGCAUGGUUCAAAAGUGAAAGACGGUCUUGCUGUCACUUAUAGAUGGAUCCGCGCUGCAUUAGCUAGUUGGUAAGGUAACGGCUUACCAAGGCAACGAUGCAUAGCCGACCUGAGAGGGUGAUCGGCCACACUGGAACUGAGACACGGUCCAGACUCCUACGGGAGGCAGCAGUAGGGAAUCUUCCGCAAUGGGCGAAAGCCUGACGGAGCAACGCCGCGUGAGUGAUGAAGGUCUUCGGAUCGUAAAACUCUGUUAUUAGGUAAGAACAUAUGUGUAAGUAACUGUGCACAUCUUGACGGUACCUAGUCAGAAAGCCACGGCUAACUACGUG
rnacentral:rRNA from 1 species